ACCUCGCAUUGGCCUUCAACGAUCAUAUAUAAAAAGUCUGAUUUCACCGUUUUUGGUUUAUUUGCGGUUGUCGCAAAGCAGAUUCAAGUUUCUCAUUCAGGAGUUAAUGAAACGAUCCUAAAUUUAAUUUGACAUAUUUUCGCGUGCUUUGUGGAACUCGGAGCCUGAAUUUUGCCUUGUGUGUAGAUUUUCUGUAUACUGCUGUUUUAUGUUUGUGGUUGCAUGUUUUCUAGUACAACUUCUCGUCCACUAUUAAUUUUAUGGUUGAUGCAGAUGAUGGAGUUUGGGAAGCUGUUUGUCACUUCCUAUAUAAAUGCGUAUGUUUCGAAUGUAAAUCUUAAUUAUCAUUAGUGAGAGGAACGAAAACAUUGGAAAGCUCAUCUGAGCGUGAAACUUAUCUAUCCCUUGAAAGUGAAAAACUUGCAUGUAUCCGCGGACAGGUUCUGUUCAGAAAGGCACCGCCAAUUUUCAAAUUAUCUUAAGCGAAAUCUCUGAUCCCGCCAUUUGAAUAAUUGUGUAAGAACUUUUAACAGAGAAACUGAUUAAUUUAUUGUUGACCAAAUCGAAUUGUUUUCAGUUGCUCAACAUAUUUGUGUGGGUUUUCAUUGAUGUUGUUAAGCCACCUUGAAUGAGUCUCUCAAGACGAGAUCGAGCCAGAUAGUUAGACGCCCAGUCUCGCUAGUUGGUAAACUAAUCCAGUCAGAUUCGAUUUUAAAAGGCCUGUCUAGGGCACUUAAUGAAUGAAGGUAUAUUUAUUACCUAGGAAAAUCUAAUCCGACUGGAUUAAAAGUGAUGCGUCACAACAUGAAAAGACAAUACAGAUGACCUUAUAAUAAUAUGUUACUAUUUUAAGCUUGUGCUUAACAAGUAAUUUUAAAACAUGUCUUUCCUAUACAUCUUUUGUUUGUUUGAUUAUUCCUUAGAUAAUAAUCGCCCUUUGAAAUAACCAACGAAAUAGUUAUUUAAUUUUUCUAAAGUUGAAAUGCAUUGGCUCCAGUUGAAUGACCGUUAUAUAGUUAUGUAUAAUUGUUGCAGAAAGUAUAAUUGUUGUUCAAUGGAAACUGAUGUGCAGUGAGGUUAUGAAUUGAAGUUACUCACGUUUUUAUCGCUGGGAUUUUUAUAUUCUUGCUUUGGGAACAAAAUAAAAAACCUAAAUGUUGUAAUUAUGAAUUCGACUCAACCGAAUUUGUUUCUGAAUUGUAUAAUGUACAUAUAAAUAAUCGACAAAUAAAAAUAAUUAUUUCAUGUA